AUAGCACCAAAUUGAUGCAGUUUUUUUCCUAUCUUCAUUCAACGGCGUGGUCUUUCUGGUUGAGAGUAUGGCGUUUUGAUUUCAUGUUCUGAUUUUCCAAUGCUUUCUCUCAAAACCCUGCCCUCGCACUCAAAUAGCCCCUGCUCACGCUCAGAUUUGCUUUGCUUCUACUCAGACUGUAUGCUUGCCCUCAUAUAUUGUUGCUUGCACAGAUUUUCUGUGUUCCAGCUUUAGCCGUUCUCGUCGCAUUCCGGCUGCUUCUGCGCACUCAUGAAAAAUCUGCUUGCGAGUUUCUGCUCUGCUCUCUAAUUAGUUUUUGCAGUAACUAUUUCAAAAUUCCCCAACCAAGACUGCCAGGUGUAGUGUUGAUCAAUGACAUAUUUCUUGCCUCCUUGCAGGCAUGUUCACUUUACUUCUCUUUAACUGGGUUCAUCCACUCCUCCCCUGCAAGGCUUGAUUAUGUGUACUUCCCUAGCUUUCUUUAUGACUUUUGGAAUAAAUGGACAGUUAAAAUAUAUGCCAGUGUCCUUACUCUUUACUAUAAUAGCUACAUAUACAUAGCUGUAUAGCACACUGGCCUCCCAUCAGUGCUAGGGUUUGUGCUUGCCCACUAAGUGGCAGCAAUGAGGGACAGGUAGCCUGGUAGAGCCACCCAACACAGUCUGCUAAAAAUGUCAUUCCCAUACAACUAAACUGGAAUAAAGACUAAUUGAUUACAAAAGCCCCCGCGACCCUAGUGAGGAUAAGCGGUUUAGAAGAUGAAUGAAUGAAUGAAUGAUUACAAAAGCUCUUGUUAUAUGUUACAAACAAAAAUCUGUGACAAAUUUUGUUCUGCUCAAAACGUAAUUGAGAAUGCAGUUUAGUUGUGUGAGAUUAUAAUUUGUAGGACGCAGGGUUGAGCCCGGUGAUACUAUCUGACGGGGCUGUAAUGUCAGGGCUUAGCAGGCAGCCAGGCAGCAGCCACUGGAGCUGUAGAAGUAUCAGCAUCCUAUUGGUUUGGGAAUUUUGCCAGGGUUAUUGCACCAAAGGGUUGGGGGCAAUAUCCAGGUUUAGAGGGAAACCAUUACAAAAUCUGAAUGUGAAUUCGUUAAGUCAUACUCCCAAACUGAAAGACCACAAUCUUGAAUUAAAAUAGGGUAAAAAAAAAAAAAAAAAAAAAAAAA